AAAACAUAGCCCCUUGAAUAUAUAUGGGGUAAAGCCUGCCCAAUGGAAAUAUCUAAAUGGCCGCGGUAUCUUGACCGUGCAAAGGUAGCAUAAUCACUUGUCUCUUAAAUAGGGACUAGUAUGAAUGGCACAACAUUUUCUAACUGUCUCCUCUCUUUUCCUCUUAAACUUCUAUUAACGUGAAGAAGCGUUACUAAAAAAGAAAGACGAGAAGACCCUGUCGAGCUUUAACUUCUAACCAGAAAGUAUUGUCUUUCUAAAGAUUACUACAACUAGCUAGAAGUUUUGGUUGGGGCAACCAUGGAGAAAAACAAACCUCCAGAAAUUAAAAAAGAUAUUUUUAUCAUUUAUAAACUUUAUAAAGAACCAUAAAUAAUGACUCACAGAAAUAGUUACCGCAGGGAUAACAGCGUCAUCUCCUUUAAGAGUUCACAUUGACAAGGAGGAUUGCGACCUCGAUGUUGGAUUGGGGCUACCAAAGGGUGCAGCAGCUCUUUUAGGUUGGACUGUUCGUCCAAUAAUACCCCACGUGAUCUGA
rnacentral:rRNA from 1 species